rnacentral:rRNA from 1 species
UACGGAGGGUGCAAGCGUUAUCCGGAUUCACUGGGUUUAAAGGGUGCGUAGGUGGGUUGAUAAGUCAGUGGUGAAAUCCCCGAGCUUAACUUGGGAACUGCCAUUGAUACCAUUGAUCUUGAAUACCGUGGAGGUCAGCGGAAUAUGUCAUGUAGCGGUGAAAUGCUUAGAUAUGACAUAGAACACCAAUUGCGAAGGCAGCUGGCUACGCGAAUAUUGACACUGAUGCACGAAAGCGUGGGGAUCAAACAGG